rnacentral:tRNA from 1 species
GGUGGCUCAGUGGUAGAGUGCUUGCCUUGCGUGUAUGAGGCCCUGGGUUCAAUUCCUCAGCACCA